GUGUGCAGAGACACUGAGGUGGGGUGGAUCCAUGGAGGAGGCGUGCAGAGACACUGAGGUGGGUGGAUCCAUGGAGGAGGCAGAGACACUGAGGUGGGGUGGAUCCAUGGAGGAGGCAGAGACACUGAGGUGGUGUGGAUCCAUGGAGGAGGCAGAGACACUGAGGUGGGGUGGAUCCAUGGAGGAGGCAGAGACACUGAGGUGGGGUGGAUCCAUGGAGGAGGCAGAGACACUGAGGUGGGGUGGAUCCAUGGAGGAGGCAGAGACACUGAGGUGGUGUGGAUCCAUGGAGGAGGCAGAGACACUGAGGUGGGGUGGAUCCAUGGAGGAGGCAGAGACACUGAGGUGGGUGGAUCCAUGGAGGAGGCAGAGACACUGAGGUGGGUGGAUCCAUGGAGGAGGCAGAGACACUGAGGUGGGGUGGAUCCAUGGAGGAGGCAGAGACACUGAGGUGGGAUGGAUCCAUGGAGGAGGCAGAGACACUGAGGUGGAUCCAUGGAGGAGGCAGAGACACCGAGGUGGGGUGGAUCCAUGGAGGAGGCGUGCAGAGACACUGAGGUGGGUGGAUCCAUGGAGGAGGCGUGCAGAGACACUGAGGUGGGGUGGAUCCAUGGAGGAGGCAGAGACACCGAGGUGGGGUGGAUCCAUGGAGGAGGCAGAGACACUGAGGUGGAUCCAUGGAGGAGGCAGAGACACCGAGGUGGGGUGGAUCCAUGGAGGAGGCGUGCAGAG
ensembl:lncRNA